rnacentral:tRNA from 1 species
UCCAUUGCUCAGUUGGUAGAGCACAAGGCUCUUAACCUUGUGGUCAUGGGUUCAAUCCCCAUGAUGGAG